UACGGAGGGUGCAAGCGUUAUCCGGAUUUACUGGGUUUAAAGGGUGCGUAGGCGGACAUGUAAGUCAGUGGUGAAAUCCUCCCGCUUAACGGGAGAACUGCCAUUGAAACUGCAUGUCUAGAGUUUGGUUUAGGUAAGCGGAAUACAGCAUGUAGCGGUGAAAUGCUUAGAUAUGCUGUAGAACACCAAUAGCGAAGGCA
rnacentral:rRNA from 1 species